rnacentral:rRNA from 1 species
GACGAACGCUGGCGGCGUGCUUAACACAUGCAAGUCGAACGGAAAGGCCCUGCUUGCAGGGUACUCGAGUGGCGAACGGGUGAGUAACACGUGGGUGAUCUGCCCUGCACUUCGGGAUAAGCCUGGGAAACUGGGUCUAAUACCGGAUAGGAGCCAUUUUUAGUGUGAUGGUUGGAAAGUUUUUUCGGUGUAGGAUGAGCUCGCGGCCUAUCAGCUUGUUGGUGGGGUAAUGGCCUACCAAGGCGGCGACGGGUAGCCGGCCUGAGAGGGUGGACGGCCACAUUGGGACUGAGAGACGGCCCAGACUCCUACGGGAGGCAGAAGUGGGGAAUAUUGCACAAUGGGCGCAAGCCUGAUGCAGAGACGCCGCGUGGGGGAUGACGGCCUUCGGGUUGUAAACUCCUUUCGCUAGGGACGAAGCUUUUUGUGACGGUACCUAGAUAAGAAGCACCGGCUAACUACGUG